AUUGAACGCUGGCGGCAGGCCUAACACAUGCAAGUCGAACGAGUGGCGGACGGGUGAGUAAUGUCUGGGAGACUGCCCGAUGGAGAGGGAUAACUCCUGGAAACGGUAGCUCAUACCGCAUACCAUCGGAUGUGCCCCGAUGGGAUUAGCUUGUGGGUGAGGUCACGGGUCACCUAGACGACGAUCCCUAGCUGGUCUGAGAGGAUGACCAGCCACACUGGAACCGAGACACGGUCCAGACUCCUACGGGAGGCAGCAGUGGGGAAUAUUGCACAAUGGGCGCAAGCCUGAUGCAGCCAUGCCGCGUGUAUGAAGAAGGCCUUCGGGUUGUAAAGUACUUUCAGCGGGGAGGCGUUACCCGCAGAAGAAGCACCGGCUAACUCCGUGCCAGCAGCCGCGGUAAUUC
rnacentral:rRNA from 1 species